GGGCUCGUAGUCCAGCUCGGUUAAGACGUCUCCUUGACAUGGAGAAGAUCCCCAGUUCAAAUGAAGCUUUUUCUUGCAAGAAAAAGCUCCAUGACCAAAAAGAAGCAGAUUCGUGCUUCACACAAUAAAAAUGAAAAUCUGGGCGGGCCCA
rnacentral:tRNA from 1 species